GCAAAUUGACAUGUUAGUCCUUUCUUAUUUUCAUUUUCAUUAUUCACACUCUCUCUCUCGCGUUGUGCCUCUUCUUCAGCUAUUCUCUGUUUUCUCUUUCUAUGGUGGGUUAUUCUUCUUCUCUAUUUCCUUCUUGUUUACUUUUAUUAAUUUUAAAUCUUUUGGUUUCUUUUUGUUUUAUUUUCCUCCCUGUUUCACCAUUGUAGUAGCUCUUCUUCCUCUUUUUUUCUUUUGGCCCUUUUUUUGGUUUUUAAUGGGAGUGCUGACGUAUUUGUGCUUGGCCGUGUGAGUGUUAUGUAGUGCAUGUAUAUUUUUAUUCCUUAUUUUCCUUGAGUUUUUCCAUUUUGUGUGGUGUGAGUUCUCUGUUUUCGGAGUUUGUUUUGUGUAAUCUUUUCUUGUUAUUGCAAUUUCUAUAUUUGUAAUCGUAUGUUUAUUCAUGUUGAUUCCCUGUUCUUUUUUUUUUUUUUUUACAUGCAUGUCAGUAAUGGUUCCUGAUUUAUAAAUGAAUUGUGUCAAUUUGAAGAUAUUUUUUGUUGUUAUUGAUUACUAGUCUGGAGUGGACUAUGCACCCAAGGUGCUUGAUUAUAUGUUUG
rnacentral:lncRNA from 1 species